AGGGGGGGCCUAUCAUGCAGUUCGAGCGAACAGAAGGGAGCUUGCUCCCGGAUGUUAGCGGCGGACGGGUGAGUAACACGUGGGUAACCUGCCUGUAAGACUGGGAUAACUCCGGGAAACCGGAGCUAAUACCGGAUAGUUCCUUGAACCGCAUGGUUCAAGGAUGAAAGACGGUUUCGGCUGUCACUUACAGAUGGACCCGCGGCGCAUUAGCUAGUUGGUGGGGUAAUGGCUCACCAAGGCGACGAUGCGUAGCCGACCUGAGAGGGUGAUCGGCCACACUGGGACUGAGACACGGCCCAGACUCCUACGGGAGGCAGCAGUAGGGAAUCUUCCGCAAUGGACGAAAGUCUGACGGAGCAACGCCGCGUGAGUGAUGAAGGUUUUCGGAUCGUAAAGCUCUGUUGUUAGGGAAGAACAAGUGCGAGAGUAACUGCUCGCACCUUGACGGUACCUAACCAGAAAGCCACGGCUAACUACGUGCCAGCAGCCGCGGUAAUACGUAGGUGGCAAGCGUUGUCCGGAAUUAUUGGGCGUAAAGGGCUCGCAGGCGGUUUCUUAAGUCUGAUGUGAAAGCCCCCGGCUCAACCGGGGAGGGUCAUUGGAAACUGGGAAACUUGAGUGCAGAAGAGGAGAGUGGAAUUCCACGUGUAGCGGUGAAAUGCGUAGAGAUGUGGAGGAACACCAGUGGCGAAGGCGACUCUCUGGUCUGUAACUGACGCUGAGGAGCGAAAGCGUGGGGAGCGAACAGGAUUAGAUACCCUGGUAGUCCACGCCGUAAACGAUGAGUGCUAAGUGUUAGGGGGGUUUCCGCCCCCUUAGUGCUGCAGCUA
rnacentral:rRNA from 1 species